rnacentral:rRNA from 1 species
AACGAACGCUGGCGGCAUGCCUAACACAUGCAAGUCGAACGAGACCUUCGGGUCUAGUGGCGCACGGGUGCGUAACGCGUGGGAACCUGCCCUUAGGUUCGGAAUAACUCCCCGAAAGGGGUGCUAAUACCGGAUAAUGUCUUCGGACCAAAGAUUUAUCGCCUUUGGAUGGGCCCGCGUUGGAUUAGCUGGUUGGUAGGGUAAAAGCCUACCAAGGCGACGAUCCAUAGCUGGUCUGAGAGGAUGAUCAGCCACACUGGGACUGAGACACGGCCCAGACUCCUACGGGAGGCAGCAGUGGGGAAUAUUGGACAAGGGGCGAAAGCCUGAUCCAGCAAUGCCGCGUGAGUGAUGAAGGCCUUAGGGUUGUAAAGCUCUUUUACCCGGGAUGAUAAUGACGGUACCGGGAGAAUAAGCUCCGGCUAACUCCGUG